rnacentral:rRNA from 1 species
AUUGAACGCUGGCGGCAUGCCUUACACAUGCAAGUCGAACGGUAACAGGUUAAGCUGACGAGUGGCGAACGGGUGAGUAAUGUAUCGGAACGUGCCCAGUCGUGGGGGAUAACUGCUCGAAAGAGCAGCUAAUACCGCAUACGACCUGAGGGUGAAAGCGGGGGAUCGCAAGACCUCGCGCGAUUGGAGCGGCCGAUAUCAGAUUAGGUAGUUGGUGAGGUAAAGGCUCACCAAGCCGACGAUCUGUAGCUGGUCUGAGAGGACGACCAGCCACACUGGGACUGAGACACGGCCCAGACUCCUACGGGAGGCAGCAGUGGGGAAUUUUGGACAAUGGGCGCAAGCCUGAUCCAGCCAUGCCGCGUGCGGGAAGAAGGCCUUCGGGUUGUAAACCGCUUUUGUCAGGGAAGAUAAGGUUCUGGCUAAUACCUGGGACUCAUGACGGUACCUGAAGAAUAAGCACCGGCUAACUACGUG